AGGUCUUGACAUACCAUGAAAAGCUAAGAGAUUAGUCUUUCCCUUCGGGGACAUGGAUACAGGUGGUGCAUGGUUGUCGUCAGCUCGUGUCGUGAGAUGUUGGGUUAAGUCCCGCAACGAGCGCAACCCUUAUUAUCAGUUGCCAGCAUUAAGUUGGGCACUCUGGUGAGACUGCCGGUGACAAACCGGAGGAAGGUGGGGACGACGUCAAAUCAUCAUGCCCCUUAUGACCUGGGCUACACACGUGCUACAAUGGUCGGUACAACGUGUUGCGAACUCGCGAGGGCAAGCAAAUCACUUAAAACCGAUCUCAGUUCGGAUUGUAGGCUGCAACUCGCCUACAUGAAGCUGGAAUCGCUAGUAAUCGCGGAUCAGCAUGCCGCGGUGAAUACGUUCCCGGGCCUU
rnacentral:rRNA from 1 species